rnacentral:rRNA from 1 species
CAGCCGCCGCGGGAAUACGAAGGGGGCUAGCGUUGUUCGGAUUUACUGGGCGUAAAGGGUGCGUAGGCGGAUUGUUAAGUCAGGGGUGAAAUGCCGGGGCUCAACCUCGGAACUGCCUUUGAUACUGGCGAUCUUGAGUCCGGGAGAGGUGAGUGGAACUGCGAGUGUAGAGGUGAAAUUCGUAGAUAUUCGCAAGAACACCAGUGGCGAAGGCGGCUCACUGGCCCGGAACUGACGCUGAGGCACGACAGCGUGGGGAGCAAACAGGAUUAGAUACCCCGGUAGUCCCUGUCUCUUAUAC